GAUGAACGCUGGCGGCGUGCCUAAUACAUGCAAGUCGAGCGAAUGGAUUAAGAGCUUGCUCUUAUGAAGUUAGCGGCGGACGGGUGAGUAACACGUGGGUAACCUGCCCAUAAGACUGGGAUAACUCCGGGAAACCGGGGCUAAUACCGGAUAACAUUUUGAACCGCAUGGUUCGAAAUUGAAAGGCGGCUUCGGCUGUCACUUAUGGAUGGACCCGCGUCGCAUUAGCUAGUUGGUGAGGUAACGGCUCACCGAGGCAACGAUGCGUAGCCGACGUGAGAGGGAGAUCGGCCACACUGGGACUGAGACACGGCCCAGACUCCUACGGGAGGCAGCAGUAGGGAAUCUUCCGCAAUGGACGAAAGUCUGACGGAGCAACGCCGCGUGAGUGAUGAAGGCUUUCGGGUCGUAAAACUCUGUUGUUAGGGAAGAACAAGUGCUAGUUGAAUAAGCUGGCACCUUGACGGUACCUAACCAGAAAGCCACGGCUAACUACGUGCCAGCCGCCGCGGUAA
rnacentral:rRNA from 1 species